rnacentral:rRNA from 1 species
AUUGAACGCUGGCGGCAUGCUUUACACAUGCAAGUCGAACGGCAGCGCGGGCUUCGGCCUGGCGGCGAGUGGCGAACGGGUGAGUAAUGCAUCGGAACGUGCCCAGUAGUGGGGGAUAGCCCGGCGAAAGCCGGAUUAAUACCGCAUACGACCUGAGGGUGGAAGCGGGGGACAGAAAGGCCUCGCGCUAUUGGAGCGGCCGAUGUCGGAUUAGCUAGGUGGUGGGGUAAAGGCUUACCAAGGCGACGAUCCGUAGCUGGUCUGAGAGGACGACCAGCCACACUGGGACUGAGACACGGCCCAGACUCCUACGGGAGGCAGCAGUGGGGAAUUUUGGACAAUGGGGGCAACCCUGAUCCAGCCAUGCCGCGUGCGGGAAGAAGGCCUUCGGGUUGUAAACCGCUUUUGUUCGGGAAGAAAUCCUCUGGGCUAAUACCCCGGGGGGAUGACGGUACCGGAAGAAUAAGCACCGGCUAACUACGUG